rnacentral:pre_miRNA from 1 species
UCAUGCUGAAGAUGAUGAUGAUGAUGAUGAUGAUGAUGCUGGCGGUCGGCAUCAUCAUCAUCAUCAUCAUCAUCAAGUGAC